AGAGUUUGAUCAUGGCUCAGGAUGAACGCUGGCGGUGCGCCUAACACAUGCAAGUCGAACGAACGAAGGAGAUGCUUGCAUUUCCUAAGUUAGUGGCGGACGGGUGAGUAACGCGUGAGUAACCUGCCUUAUACAGGGGAAUAACAAUGAGAAAUUAUUGCUAAAACCGCAUAAGCUUACACUAUCGCAUGAUAGAGUAAGAAAAAAUUUAUUGGUAUAAGAGGGACUCGCGUCUGAUUAGCUAGUUGGAGAGGUAACGGCUCACCAAGGCGACGAUCAGUAGCCGGCCUGAGAGGGUGAUCGGCCACACUGGGACUGAGACACGGCCUAGACUCUUACGGGAGGCAGCAGUGGGGAAUAUUGGACAAUGGAGGCAACUCUGAUGCAGCGACACCGCGUGAAGGAAGAAGGGUUUCGGCUCGUAAACUUCUAUCAGUUGGGAAGAAUAAAUGACGGUACUAAACUAAGAAGCACCGGCUAAAUACGUGCUAGCAGCUGCGGUAAUACGUAUGGUGCAAGCGUUAUCCGGAAUUACUGGGUGUAAAGGGUGAGUAGGCGGUAAUGUAAGUCAUGUGUGAAAGGUUACGGCUCAACCGUAAGACUGCACAAGAAACUGCAUAACUAGAGUACAGGAGAGGUAAGCGGAAUUCCUAGUGUAGCGGUGAAAUGCGUAGAUAUUAGGAAGAACACCAGUGGCGAAGGCGGCUUACUGGACUGAAACUGACGCUGAGUCACGAAAGCGUGGGGAGCAAACAGGAUUAGAUACCCUGGUAGU
rnacentral:rRNA from 1 species